CCCUUGAUCAGAAUAUCUCAAACUUCUCAAAAGCAUCAUUUGAUCGCCUACGAAGAACUAAUAUCAACUCAACAAUGGCCAAGACACUUUUCGUCGUCCUCAUUGGAAUGAUCGCUCUUAGCGCACUUCUCCCAGCUGAAGACAUUUCUGCUACCGCACUAAACUGUGUUAACUCUGACGAUAAUUAUUGUAAGAUGAUGGCUAACUUCUGCGAUUCACAAGCUUUCUCUUCUGAUGUUGCCACCAAAUGCCCAGGUACAUGUAACCCAGCGUGCCAACGUUAAAGUGAAUAAACAGGCCUACAACAUCUGAAUGUAGCAGAGAACGCUUAUUCUCCUAACAACAAAUCAACGGGUAUUGUAAAGACCAUAGAUCAAUUCAAUUUGCCAUUACCAGUUGUGUACACUUUCACUACACAAUGAAAGUUCAUAUAUGCAUCAAUGAUAAGUGCAACGAAGGUUCAACUGAGCCAGCCGACUACCUGUCAGUUUAUUUCGACAACUCGGAUUAAACCCUAAAGUCUUAAACUUUAUCUUUUAUUCAAUAUUAGAUUACUAGUAGAGAAAUCACGAUGUUUGGUUUACAGUGUAUUAGCAGUCACCACCUGAACAUACAGUAAUUAUUAUUCACUAAGCAUGAUUGAAACACUUUGUGCGAAACGAAUAAAAUGAUCACAUAGGCGUAAAUAUGUUUAUAUUGAAGAUUAUUGGCAACGUUGAAUAAAAGUAGAUCUUUGCUCUCUAA